rnacentral:rRNA from 1 species
UAGGGAAUCUUCCACAAUGGACGCAAGUCUGAUGGAGCAACGCCGCGUGAGUGAAGAAGGUUUUCGGACCGUAAAGCUCUGUUGUUGGUGAAGAAGGAUAGAGGUAGUAACUGGCCUUUAUUUGACGGUAAUCAACCAGAAAGUCACGGCUAACUACGUGCCAGCAGCCGCGGUAAUACGUAGGUGGCAAGCGUUGUCCGGAUUUAUUGGGCGUAAAGCGAGCGCAGGCGGAAGAAUAAGUCUGAUGUGAAAGCCCUCGGCUUAACCGAGGAAUUGCAUCGGAAACUGUUUUCUUGAGUGCAGAAGAGGAGAGUAGAACUCCAUGUGUAGCGGUGGAAUGCGUAGAUAUAUGGAAGAAUACCAGUGGCGAAGGCGGCUCUCUGGUCUGCAACUGACGCUGAGGCUCGAAAGCAUGGGUAGCGAACAGGAUUAGAUACCCUUGGUAGUCCAUGCCGUAAACGAUGAGUGCUAAG